GUAAAUAUAGUUUAACAAAAACUUUAGAUUGUGAAUCUAACAAUAGGAGACAAUAUCCUUAUUUACC
rnacentral:tRNA from 1 species